rnacentral:tRNA from 1 species
GGGGAUAUAAAUCAGUUGGUAGAGUGCUUGCCUUGCAUGCAUAAGGCCCUGGGUUCAAUCCUCAGUACCACA